GCGGGCUUGGAGUGAAGCUGCUGUUGUUGGUUUUUUACUCCUUCAUUUUCUCAGCUGAAGCCUGGAAUGCAUGUGUCUGGUUGCAGGCAAGCUGGAGCCUAUCCCAGCUGACUAUGGGCGAGAGGCAGGGUACAUCCUGGACAAGUCGCCAGGUCAUCGCAGAGCUGACACAUAGAGACAAACUGACCUGCAAGCUGAUUGGUGUCCUGAUUUACUGCAGAAGACUGAGACUGAUAUUCUACACCUUCUCAACAGAGUAAAGCAGUGAACAGGUUAAAACAUUGCCUUUGCAGUGGUAGAAACCUUCAUCUGACUUUGAGACACUCCUGAUGGUCAUCUCUCCUGUAGUCUGCUUCUGGAGAACUGAAUCAUUUUUAUAGAAAUCAACACCAGACUCUGAGAUCUUUGUGUUGCGAUACAAACAGCGUAAAGUCAGAGGACGUCCCUCAGUAACAGGAUGGACAGGACUGUCCAGGAUCACGUCACCAUCUGUAGGAAAGAGAAAGAAGACACUGAAAACAGAAUAUGUGCAAAACGCAGUGUAAUUCUCCUUUAUUAGUGUAAGAUUCAGUCCUUUACAAGGCUUAGAAAACACAUUGCAUUUCUUUGUGAGAUUGCUGCAUUUUAUGGAGUUGUUCUUUAUUCUUUAACAUGCCAUGUUUACGUGGGGCAGAAAACACAAAUGGGGUAUUUUAUCAUUUUAUUGUUGCAGUCUCAGAAACAAAGAUGCCAAACUGUACGUUUAGCUGCUUAUAUAUCUGGGGUUGUGUGUUUUUUCUUUUGAUUUGUUUCAUAUUUGAUAUUGUGUUUUAUAUUUGUGAUGAGAUAUGUACUGGCCGUCAUGUUAUUUGUAUUUGAUGUUAAUGGGAUGUGACGUUGCAUGGGUUGGGUUUCACAUGGACCCUUUUUAUUGUUGCACACUUACUCUGAAGUGGACGAAGCCAGUAGCUGAUUAGCGGCUAUGCCGGUAUGCUGCAUAGUCUAAAGUUUGUUUUACCUUGUUGUAUGCCUGAAAGUCCUACUCAUUUCCCUCUGAGUGAUAUGCAGCCAGCGAGGUGUGUGUUUUGUUUUUUUUUUUGUAUUAUGCCUUCUGGUGUUUGUUGGUGUUGGAAUUGUCUAGUGAUUGUACUCUCGAGUUCCGAAUAACCGUGCAUGCACGGCUAUUUAUUUUUGCGAAAAAUUCCCGCCUGCACGGUCUUAUUCGGGCCUACACGCUUAUUCUAUUUGUCAAUACAAGCACGUGUGACGAAUGAGCGAAAAUAACGCCUGAACACAGACGACUCACUACGCACAUGCGCAGACACAACGAAGCACCGCCGAUGCACCAACACCACUGCCGGUGGUAAACAACGGUAUCUAUGAUUGAUUUGUAUCUAUUGGCUGAUCAUCCCUUCAUAUUCUAAUUGUGAUAUUGUUGAAGAAUCGGAUGAAGACUUAACGGUUCAUGCUCUUUCACCUGCUGGAUUCAAAUGGUGCAAUAAAGUCUUCCUCUGCCUCUGUAAUAGAAUUUUGACAUUUUUAAAUUAGAAUUUUGAUGUUUUAAGACCUUAAAUAAAGGUAAAUUAAAGCAAUUUGCAUACUUGAGUUUCUCAAGCAAAAGUACUCUACUAGUAUCCAGAUAUUCUUUUUGUUUUAGAUAAAAAGAACACGAACAAGAAAUUUUGACAGCCAUGAUAUUUGUCUGUUUACUGAAUUGAUAUUUGGUCUCCAAGAUCUGUUCAGCAUAAUUUUCUAGACUACAAGUGUGCUUAUCGCUUAUUAUAUUUGUCCUAAUGUGCCAUCCUAUACUCUUAUUCCCAACUGCACUAUUAUUCGAAACUCGAGAAUUUUCCGGCCUUCAUGCUUAUUUCCACCCUAUACUCUUAUUAAUUUUUGCCCAUUUUGCCGCCCUACACUCUUAUUCCCAACUGCGCUAUUAUUCGGAACUCGAGAGUAUGUGUUGUUACUAUUCUAAACAGUUCGACGGUGGAUAAUGAAAUUAAAGGAAGAAAAUAAAUCCAUCAGUAACUGAAGAACUUGUGUCGCGUGUUUCCUGGAGGGGAGUGAUAGUCGAACUCGAGCUGAAAUUAACAUCGGACAAUAGACUGAAGUUACUUUUGCAAGACGGAGUCGUUUGUCUGUUCGGGGUCGCCUGUGAAUGAAGUUGUUCCUGCGACUGACACGAACUUAUCUGAAGGAGGCUAGUACUAGUGCUACGUCUUUUAGUUGAAGAAGGAGCAGCAUCAAACAGAUAAGCAUCAAAAAGAGUUAUUUUUUUCUUUUCUGAUUGUUUUGGUUAAGACUUUUAAUCAAUUGAUGAACAUUUAACGUGGGUUCAUGGACAUUAAG